UGUAUGGGAUUUGAAAAUAAAAUUAAACAACGUGUACAUGAAUUGACAAGUGGCAUUAGAGACGGAAUAACGAAGAAACAUAACGAAAACUUGACCAUUCAUUCCCAUAUUACUAAACUGUGUGAUGAGAAAACCAAGUGGUGUCGCGAUUUAGAAAGUAAAAUUGAUAGUUUUGUUGACAAAAAUAUGGCUGGACACCUGUAUCUAAUGAACAGACAUUUUGAGAAAGAGGUUUCGGAUGCCAGAUUCCACCUUAAAGAAUUCAAACAAAACAUACUUUCAAAGGGUUUGACUUCAAAGAAAACAAGGUCAUACUAAAAUGCGUGUUUGAAGAUUUGGAGGAGGUUUGUGAACAUCAAGAAGAAGUUACUGGGAGCGACGAUGGCAAUGCCAAUGAUGUUGGCGCAUCAACCACAAAAAUAAACCAGACUCGGCGGGAGCUCACUGUACUGUUGAGUCAAAUCAAGCAAGACUUAGAUCAGUCAGAAAAGGCAAGGAAUGCACUUUGUGAUGAGCUGAAACAAGUGAAACAAGACAAAGAUAAUUCAGAAAAGAAAAGACAGAUACUCGAACAAGAAUUACUGAAAGCGAAACAAGGAAUAGAGGAAUCUGAAAAGACAAGGAAGGGGUUUGAACAAGAGUUACUGAAGGCGAAAAAGUGUAUAGAGAAAUAUGAAAAGGUAA